GACGAACGCUGGCGGCGUGCUUAACACAUGCAAGUCGAACGGAAAGGCCCUGCGUUUGUGGGGUGCUCGAAUGGCGAACGGGUGAGUAACACGUGAGUAACCGGCCCUUGACUUUGGGAUAACUUCAGGAAACUGGGGCUAAUACCGGAAAGGAGCUCCAGCUGCAUUGUGGUGGUUGGAAAGUUUCGGCGGUCGGGGAUGGACUCGCGGCUUAUCAGCUUGUUGGUGGGGGAGAGUCUUACGAAGGCAUUGACGGGUAGCCGGCAUGAGAACGUGACCGGCGCCAUUGGGCCUGAGAGACGGCGCAGACUCCUACGGGAGGCAGAAGUGGGGAAUCUUGCGCAAUGGGGGGAAGUCUGAUGCAGCAACGCCGCGUGCGGGAUGAUGGCCUUCGGGUUGUAAACCGCUUUCGCCUGUGACGAAGCGUGAGUGACGGUAAUUGGUAAAGAAGCACCGGCUAACUACGUG
rnacentral:rRNA from 1 species